rnacentral:tRNA from 1 species
UAUUAGAUAUCUUAAAAUAAAAGAAUUGAUUUUUUAAAUCAUUUAUGAUAUAUAAUUAUCUCUAAUAA